rnacentral:rRNA from 1 species
UACAGAGGGUGCGAGCGUUAAUCGGAAUUACUGGGCGUAAAGCGCGCGUAGGCGGCUUUGCAAGUCGGGUGUGAAAUCCCCAGGCUUAACCUGGGAACUGCGUCUGAUACUGGAUGGCUUGAAUUCGGGAGAGGGAUGCAGAAUUCCAGGUGUAGCGGUGAAAUGCGUAGAUAUCUGGAGGAAUACCGGUGGCGAAGGCGGCAUCCUGGACCGACAUUGACGCUGAGGAGCGAAAGCUAGGGGAGCAAACGGG